CACGUAGGGUGCGAGCGUUGUCCGGAAUUAUUGGGCGUAAAGGGCUCGUAGGCGGUCUGUCACGUCGGGAGUGAAAACUCGGGGCUUAACCCCGAGCCUGCUUCCGAUACGGGCAGGCUAGAGUUCGGUAGGGGAGACUGGAAUUCCUGGUGUAGCGGUGAAAUGCGCAGAUAUCAGGAAGAACACCUAUGGCGAAGGCAGCUCUCUGGGACGGUACUGACGCUGAGACGCGAAAGCGUGGGGAGCGAACAGG
rnacentral:rRNA from 1 species